AACGAACGCUGGCGGCAGGCCUAACACAUGCAAGUCGAGCGCCCUUUCGGGGGAGCGGCGGACGGGUGAGUAACGCGUGGGAAUAUGCCCUUCUCUACGGAAUAGCCUCGGGAAACUGAGAGUAAUACCGUAUACGCCCUGUGGGGGAAAGAUUUAUCGGGGAAGGAUUAGCCCGCGUUGGAUUAGGUAGUUGGUGGGGUAAUGGCCUACCAAGCCGACGAUCCAUAGCUGGUUUGAGAGGAUGAUCAGCCACACUGGGACUGAGACACGGCCCAGACUCCUACGGGAGGCAGCAGUGGGGAAUCUUAGACAAUGGGGGCAACCCUGAUCGAGCCAUGCCGCGUGAGUGAUGAAGGCCUUAGGGUUGUAAAGCGCUUUCAGCUGGGAAGAUAAUGACGGUACCAGCAGAAGAAGCCCCGGCUAACUCCGUG
rnacentral:rRNA from 1 species